rnacentral:rRNA from 1 species
UAUAUUGCAAGUAAAUACAAUUUAUGAAAGCAAAAAAUUAUGGCGGUACUUUAAGCUUUUCAGAGGAAUUUGCUCUGUAAUGGAUAAAACACCUAAAUCUUACUAAAAUUUGUUAAAUCAGUUUGUAUACCACUAUUAAAGUAGUAUUUCAUAACUAUUACUUAAAUUUUUUUAAAAAAAAUAAAUUAAGUCAAGGUGCAGCAAAAGUUUUAGGAUGAAGUGAAUUACAAUUCUUUUUAGUUUUUAAAAUUUUUUUAAAAAAAUUUUAAAAUAGGAUUUGAAAGUAAAAAAUCAAUAGUAUGGCUUUUGAAUAAAAC